GGUGCAUUUGUUCUACUUAAAGACGUUUGCAGACGACGGACAGCUUUUUUAUUAGAAACCAGCCAUCCAACCGCCAUUUUGUGUGCGGUUGGGCAGUUACUCUCCGCCUACUCUGAUUAACAACUGUUUUAGAGUUGAUUUUUACUCGAUUACACUCUUUUUUUUUAUAAGAACCAUUUUAUAAGAACGUCCAGCCUGAUAUUUCGCCAAAUUUUAAGAACAUGCUAAGAACAUGCCGAGGCUCAGAUAGCAGAUUUUUUUAGUCCUGAUGCAUUCUAAAACGCAGAAUCAAGUUGUGCUUAUAGUAACAACCUAUUUAUUGCUAUAAGACUACGAGUAGUCUAAUUGUUUUAGUAUAAAUCCACUCAAAUUCUACCUUAUAUUCUACCUACCUCUAUAUUUAAAUACACUGUUAGUUUCAGGGAGUUAUUUUUACUCCACUCAGAGAGUAAAAACUACUCUUUGCGAUGGAGUACAUUUAAAGGAGUAAUUUGAACUCCUUUAUUGGAGUAAAAACUACUCCACUGAGGAGUAUUUUUUUUUGUUUACUCCCUUAACGGAGUAAGUUUUACUCUGCUGAGAAUUAGUAUGGAAUGUUUAUUAGAAAAAGAGUAAUUUUCACUCUUGUUGGUCAAAUAAUGGAGUAAAAAGUACUCUUUUCUGGUAGGUAAGUCUUUAUUAUAUAAGACAAAAGAUAAAAAUAAUAAUUUAUCGUAUUUAUUGGUAUUGAGACAAAAAACUCUACCCUGUGCCUAGGAGUUUCCUAAGAUUUCCUAAGUUCGAUCAAAACAACAAAAUAUGAUUAAGCUUUAUGUGGUGUACUUUCACAAUUCGCUCAGAAUAAUUAGUACUGCAUUGAAAAGAAAGAUAGGUAGGGUGAUAAUGGUAUAAAAUUCUUAGAUCCGAUUUGAACAUUAUAAAAUAAUAUAUAUUGUUUCUAAUAGAAACGCUACUUGAGAUUAUAAAAAAAAAAUAAAAAAAUCCCGCUUUGCAGAUAGAAGACGGCUCACCAGGGCCCGUAAAAGCAAAAUGUACCGGGCGUCCCUCGCUUUAGUAGCCGAGAGGGGCUUGGGCCCAAGGCGCAAAAUCAUAACGGUCGAACGGAAGCCAUUAUCAUAACCUCCAAACGGGUAACCGUUUAUUCCCGUCUUUUCUACGCGUAAUUCACCUUUGUUUAAGGAUUUGAUGGCAGAACAUGGAUUGAAGUUAAAGGACAUUAUGAUAGAGAUUGUAAAAUGUGCUCGAGUUGCAAAGCCAGACAAGAAAGAAGUUUGAGGUAUAAGGAAUGUAUCAAUGCGUAAAUCGCAAGAAACGAAUAAAAACUUUGUAAACUUAA